AAGUUGUUGCGGUUAAAAGCUCGUAGUUCGAGCUCAGUUCCGGACUGGCCGGGGAGGUCACCGCCCGGUGCUUCCCCGUCAGGCUCCGAACAGCCUUCGUGAGCGGAGGCCAAGCCGGUUCUGCCGGGGUGCUCUUUACCGAGUGUCCCGCGCGGCCGGCCAGUUCACCUUGAAUAAAUGAGAGUGCUCAAAGCAGGCUACUCUCGAAUACAAUGCCCGAAUGUUACCUGCAUGGAAUGAUGGAAGAUGAUCUCGGUUCCAUUUUAUUGGUGGUGGGAGCCCGAGGUAAUGAUAAACAGGGACUGUCGGGGGCAUCCGUACUACGACGCGAGAGGUGAAAUUCAGUGACCGUCGUAGGACGAACAACAGCGAAAGCAUUUGCCAAGAAUGUCUUCGUUGAUCAAGAACGAAAGUUAGAGGAUCGAAGGCGAUCAGAUACCGCCCUAGUUCUAACCCUAAACGAUGCUGACUAGCAAUUCGCCGUCGUUAUUCCCAUGACGUGGCGAGACGCCCCCGGGAAACCUCAAGUCUUUGAGUUCCGGGGGUAGUAUGGUUGCAAAACUGAAACUUAAAGGAAUUGACGGAAGGGCACCACCAGGAGUGGAGCGUGCGGCUUAAUUUGACUCAACACGGGAAACCUCACCAGGCCCGGACACCAGAAGGAUUGACAGAUUAAGAGCUCUUUCUCGAUUUGGUGGGUGGUGGUGCAUGGCCGUUCUUAGUUGGUGGAGUGAUUUGUCUGGUUAAUUCCGGUAACGAACGAGACUCUGGCCUACUAAAUAGUCGACGGGCGUUUUGGUGCAUGGGCCCCGUUCGACACAGUCUUCUUAGAGGGAUGAGCAGCGAGUAUAGCUGCAGGAGAUUGAGCAAUAACAGGUCUGUGAUGCCCUUAGAUGUCCUGGGCCGCACGCGCGCUACACUGAAUGGGUUAGCGGGUUGUCCUUCUCCGAGAGGAGCGGGAAAUCGCUUGAAAACCAUUCGUGAUAGGGAUUGGGGCUUGCAAUUGUUUCCCAUGAACGAGGAAUUCCCAGUAAGCGCAAGUCAUCAGCUUGCGUUGAUUAAGUCCCUGCCCUUUGUACACACCGCCCGUCGCUACUACCGAUUGAAUGAUUUAGUGAGGCCUUCGGACUGGCGGUCUUGGACUGGGGCGCCGGCGUUCUCCAGCAAUGGGGUGCCGGCGACCCGCCUAGACGGGCCGGAAAGAUGUCCAAACUUGAUCAUUUAGAGGAAAUAAAAGUCGUAACAAGGUUUCG
rnacentral:rRNA from 1 species